rnacentral:rRNA from 1 species
GACGAACGCUGGCGGCGCGCCUAACACAUGCAAGUCGAACGAGCGAGAGAGAGCUUGCUUUCUCGAGCGAGUGGCGAACGGGUGAGUAACGCGUGAGGAACCUGCCUCAAAGAGGGGGACAACAGUUGGAAACGACUGCUAAUACCGCAUAAGCCCACGGGUCGGCAUCGACCAGAGGGAAAAGGAGCAAUCCGCUUUGAGAUGGCCUCGCGUCCGAUUAGCUAGUUGGUGAGGUAACGGCCCACCAAGGCAACGAUCGGUAGCCGGACUGAGAGGUUGAACGGCCACAUUGGGACUGAGACACGGCCCAGACUCCUACGGGAGGCAGCAGUGGGGAAUAUUGCACAAUGGGGGAAACCCUGAUGCAGCGACGCCGCGUGGAGGAAGAAGGUCUUCGGAUUGUAAACUCCUGUUGUUGGGGAAGAUAAUGACGGUACCCAACAAGGAAGUGACGGCUAACUACGUGCCAGCAGCCGCGGUAAAACGUAGGUCACAAGCGUUGUCCGGAAUUACUGGGUGUAAAGGGAGCGCAGGCGGGAAGACAAGUUGGAAGUGAAAUCUAUGGGCUCAACCCAUAAACUGCUUUCAAAACUGUUUUUCUUGAGUAGUGCAGAGGUAGGCGGAAUUCCCGGUGUAGCGGUGGAAUGCGUAGAUAUCGGGAGGAACACCAGUGGCGAAGGCGGCCUACUGGGCACCAACUGACGCUGAGGCUCGAAAGUGUGGGUAGCAAACAAAA